CCAUCGCAUGCGAGCAUCGCGACGGGGGGACCCCAAGUGCCACUCUUAACGGGGUGGCUUUUCUUAAGUGUAAAAAGCUUUUGGAAUAAGGGCUGGGCAAGACCGGUGCCAGCCGCCGCGGUAACACCGGCAGCUCUAGUGGUAGCCAUUUUUAUUGGGCCUAAAGCGUUCGUAGCCGGUUUGAUAAGUCUCUGGUGAAAUCCUAUAGCUUAACUGUGGGACUUGCUGGAGAUACUAUUAGACUUGAGGUCGGGAGAGGUUAGCGGUACUCCCAGGGUAGGGGUGAAAUCCUGUAAUCC
rnacentral:rRNA from 1 species